rnacentral:rRNA from 1 species
UACAGAGGGGGCAAGCGUUGUUCGGAAUUACUGGGCGUAAAGGGCGCGUAGGCGGCCUUCUAAGUCGGACGUGAAAUCCCUCGGCUUAACCGAGGAACUGCGUCCGAUACUGAAAGGCUUGAAUCCGGGAGAGGGAUGUGGAAUUCCAGGUGUAGCGGUGAAAUGCGUAGAUAUCUGGAGGAACACCGGUGGCGAAGGCGGCGUUCUGGACUGCAACUGACACUGAGAAACGAAAGCCAGGGUAGCAAACGGG